GCUGCACACUUCCGGUCCCCGCCGUUCAACCCUUUCGAUACCAGGAUUUGGGUGGCCAGGACAAGGAAGAGGACGGUCCCUUUUUCCAAUGCCGGGAAGCUGAGAUGGUGUCAGGAGUGGGAUCCAAAGUGGAGCUUCUAGCGACUGCCAGGAGCACUGAGUGAACAUGCAAGGUACCUGCAGGGCCCACUUGUGUCCAUUGAUCUCUCACAGCACCUGGGGAUCACAGAACCUGCAGAUUGGAUCGUCUGAGAACACCAGAGAAAGAGAAAGACUGUCCUUGCCAUCCACACUACAGCAAAACUUUGGAGCUUUAAACCUUGGGUUCAUAAUCUCACAACUGAGAAGGGUCCCUCCACACUCCUGGAACUGUACACCCAUCGGAACCCUUAAGGUAAAACUAUCCAGAAAAGUUUCUCCCCAGAAGAUGGCAUCCUUGAUGUGAAGAGCUUUUCCAAGAUCAUAGAUCAAAACUUCUACUAUCACAAGACUCUUAUCUUUGAAUAUUUUUUCCUUGUUUAUGCCUCUAUAAACAAUAUAAAUUAAA